rnacentral:rRNA from 1 species
AGUCAACAUGCCCAGGGGACGUGGAUAACCUCGGGAAACUGAGGAUAAACCGCGAUAAGUCAUUACUUCUGGAAUGGGUAAUGACUCAAAUCUACAUGGCCCCUGGAUUGGACUGCGGCCGAUCAGGCUGUUGGUGAGGUAAUGGCCCACCAAACCUGUAACCGGUACGGGCUCUGAGAGGAGGAGCCCGGAGAUGGGCACUGAGACAAGGGCCCAGGCCCUAUGGGGCGCAGCAGGCGCGAAACCUCUGCAAUAGGCGAAAGCCUGACAGGGUUACUCUGAGUGAUUUCCGUUAAGGAGAUCUUUUGGCACCUCUAAAAAUGGUGCAGAAUAAGGGGUGGGCAAGUCUGGUGUCAGCCGCCGCGGUAAUACCAGCACCCCGAGUGGUCGGGACGUCUAUUGGGCCUAAAGCAUCCGUAGCCGGUUCUACAAGUCUUCCGUUAAAUCCACCUGCUUAACAGAUGGGCUGCGGAAGAUACUAUAGAGCUAGGAGGCGGGAGAGGCAAGCGGUACUCGAUGGGUAGGGGUAAAAUCCGUUGAUCCAUUGAAGACCACCAGUGGCGAAGGCGGCUUGCCAGAACGCGCUCGACGGUGAGGGAUGAAAGCUGGGGGAGCAAACCGGAUUAGAUACCCGGGUAGUCCCAGCUGUAAACGAUGCAGACUCGGCGAUGAAUUGGC